rnacentral:RNase_P_RNA from 1 species
UCAGCUCGAAAGACGGCCGCUUAUUUAUAAGAGGAAAGUCCGGGCAACAUAGGAUAAGGUAGUCGCUAACGGCGACCGUUCGAAAGAAUAGGGAAAGUACCACAGAGACAAGACUGCCAGUUUACUGGUAAAGGUGAAAAGAGUGAGGCAAGAGCUCACAGCGCUGUAUGGUGACAUAUGGCGGAGGCAAACCCUACCUGUUGCAAGGAGUGCUAUCAGCUUUGAUCCGAAGACGCACGCUCACCGCUAGAAUCAUUCGGCAACGGAUGAGCUAGAUAGAUGGUCGUCACCCCUGUCCCGACAGGAGUACAGAACCCGGCUUACUGAGAGCUAUAUCA